UCACAGACGCGCAACGCCACGACCGAGGCCACAUGAGAGAACAGGACAGGUGGGAUAGAACUGGGAUAGGAGGACUGGGGACCUUUUGCCCAGACAAAGUGGUGCGAGGACGAAAAAGUUUGACAACUAUGGGAUGUUUGAAUCACUUCGAAGAAGUUCAUGUUGUACUAGGUAAUGAGUCUUGUGACCUUGACUCAGCAGUAGCCUCAGUUGUCACAGCAUUUCUUCUUCAUCAGAAGAAAUCAGAGCUGAAGUGUGCUGUGUUGCCAGUGCUUAACAUUGUAAGGAGAGAUUUCAGGCUUCGAACAGAAGUUACUUUUUUCCUACAGAAGACUAAUAUACCAUUUGAUCUUCUUAUCUUCAAGGAUGAAAUUGAUUUAGAAAAACUUAGAAAAGAAAAAAGAUUGUGCUUAACACUUGUGGACCACAAUGUCUUGAGUGCAGACCAGCAGUGCUUAGAAGAAGCUGUUGUAAGGGUCAUAGAUCAUCACAAGCUUGAAUGCAGAGACAGAAGAAUGAGGUGUGAUAUGACAGUUGAAAUGGUUGGAUCAUGCUGUACACUUGUGGCUGAAAAGAUGUUUACUACGUGUCCAAGUGUAAUUGACCAACAAAUUGCUAUGCUCCUCUAUGGUACAAUUCUCCUAGACACUGUAUGCCUGUUAAAAGAAGCCAAAAGGGCAACGGAAAAGGAUAUUAAUAUUGUAAUAAAACUUGAAACCAAGUUGGAAAAAGUUACAAGAAUAGAGGUUUUUGAAGCAUUGCAGAAGGCUAAAUUUGACCUCUCAGGUUUAACUUUUGAAGAAAUGCUUAGGAAAGAUCUGAAAGUUGUUGAAGGAAAUAAGUUCAGAAUUGCAAUACCUUCAAUACCUGGAUUUUUGGAGGAUCUAAAAGCAGAACCAAAAUUAAGCAUUGCUAUGGAAGAAUUUAUAACACAAAAUAACUACCAUGGCUUAGUAAUUAUGACCAUUCAUCAUAACAGUGAAACACGAAAAGUUCAAAGACAAAUUGCUGUAUAUUCACCAGAUCCAGUGAUUAAAGAACAGAUAGUGAACACAUUAAAAGGAGCCCAAGAUCCAGGACUGGAAUUAGAACCUUUACACUUGGGAAUUUCUGACUUGAUGUCUUUCAACCAGAGAAAUAUAGCAGCAUCAAGAAAAGUAGUACUUCCUUUGGUGCGGUCUUUUAUCCAAGAAUCACCUGUCAGUAGCCACUCAGCUAAAGCUUGAAGCAGUAUCACAACAUACCAGCUGUCUGAUUCAAGGUUUCCAGGUUCCAUGUAAGAAAGGCAUAGCUGAUUCAAUGGUUAGAAAGCUUUAUCCUCCCCACAGUUCUAUAAUAUUGAGGAUUUUCUUCUUCUUUCUACAGUUUCCAAUAUUGUUUAAUCCAUGGAAAUUUUUUUUUCUACCAUAAAGGUAAAACUGAUUUCCUGAGAAGUACCAGACAGGUAACCCCUUAAUAACAGCAGAUUCAAUCAAAAAAAUAAAGGGAAUGUGUUGUAGUUGCUAAUUUGACAGAAUUUUAAGUUGCUCAUGAAAUUAAAAAACUGAACACAAUUAAAGCACAGUGACAACAAUAUUUAGAUACAACAAAACAAAUGGUGCAUAUCUGUGUAGACAUAUGUAUGAUCACCUGUAUUGAUCAUCAGCUUUCUGCCUCUCUAAACGAAUCUCUGCCAAACUGGUCAUGAUAAAAAUCAUGUAGAACUGAACAAAAAAGUACGCUCGAUAUAGAAUGUAAACUUGCUUUCUCUAUCCAGUGUACAGUAUUACCUUGUGACCACUGUUCCCUGACAGUAUUGAUCUGCUGUCACUUUCAGUCAACAUCAUAAUUGGCCAGCCAAAUAUAUUUUAGUGCAAACUUUUUCAACCUGUAUUCUACAUACAGUACUGAAACAUUCCUGUAAGUAGAGGAGACGUCUUCUACUAGAGGAAAAAAAAUGAAGCAACUGGAAGUAAGCAAAGGUAACAACUUUCUGGACCACACAACUGCCAUAACCUUCCAGAAACUAAGUAACUGAAAAUUAAACAAAAAUUCUAUAUCACUUUAGAAGAUAGAAAAUGCAUGAUAUGUCUGCAUAUCACAAUCUCAAGUUAGACAUUUUGUUUCAGCUGUAUUACUAGAAACUCAAUGUACUUUAAUUCUGUUUAAGCCUUAUCAUUAUAUAUUUUUUUCAUUACCAUACUAACAGUACAUUCAAACCAAUAAUAAUAUUUGAAUCUUAGAAUUAAGCAUGUUGUAUAAUUCUUAAGUUUGUGUUUUAACUUUGUAAUGGCUGGGUGCAUCGAUUCAACUAAUCUGUUAUGUGUUUUUUUUUGUUUUAUUAAAAUAACAAAGUACUGGGUGAAAUAGUUUGAAAAUUGAGAUAAACUUUCUUCAUAUUACAUAGCUUCUGAAAAUAAAAUAUUUUUAUACUUGAUAUUUGUAUUAAUUCACAGCUUCAAAAAUUGAAAAGAAAUGAAGAAGACUUUAAUUAGUUUUUUAGAUCUUGAGCCAAUGACUUCUCAAAUCUGAGAUAUAGGGAAUUAAUCGCACCAUGACAACCAAGGUUGAUAAACUAUGAUUAGCUGAAGUCAGUAAAACUACUCUUGUAUUGAAGUUACAAAGAUUAGCUCUAUUUUGUUCAAACUGUUUCAUCUUUUCUCUUGUGGGAUAUGAAUGCUGUAUUAUGCUCAUAAAAAUUCAGAAAAUUAACAAACAUUAAUAUAUUCAUUCAGAGCACGGUGAAAGCAACCCAAAUCAAAAUGUAAGAUUUUAUAAAGGUUAUCUUUAAAAGUUAAUAAAUAAAACAUUUUUAUUAAUUAAAUUGC
rnacentral:misc_RNA from 1 species